rnacentral:siRNA from 1 species
AGACCUACCAAAUAAUGUGAUACA